CUACGAGGGGCAGCAGUGAGGAAUAUUGCACAAUGGAGGAAACUCUGAUGCAGCAACGCCGCGUGGAGGAUGACGCAUUUCGGUGUGUAAACUCCUUUUAUAUGUCAAGAAAAUGACGGUAGCAUAUGAAUAAGCUCCGGCUAACUCCGUGCCAGCAGCCGCGGUAAUACGGAGGGAGCAAGCGUUACUCGGAAUCACUGGGCGUAAAGGACGCGUAGGCGGGAUAGAAAGUCAGGUGUGAAAUCCUAUGGCUCAACCAUAGAACUGCACUUGAAACUUCUAACCUAGAGUAUGGGAGGGGAAGAUGGAAUUAGUGGUGUAGGGGUAAAAUCCGUAGAUAUCACUAGGAAUACCAAAAGCGAAGGCGAUCUUCUGGAACAAUACUGACGCUAAGGCGUGAAAGCGUGGGGAGCAAACAGGAUUAGAUACCCUCGUAGUC
rnacentral:rRNA from 1 species